rnacentral:lncRNA from 1 species
GGAGUUGGUGCAGGAACACGGCCCCUGUGCCCAGCAUGGACCUCGCAUUACUGGCAUAGAAUACAGCAUUGCAGUUCGGGCGGUGCUGCAGGAAUCUCGGCUCCAGACCUGAACCCAUAAACCGGGGGAGAGUCACAAGCAAAGACGUCCAGAGGAAUCUGCGGAUGGCAGCUGCACCAGGAAGCCACGUGGCGGGGACCUGGGUCCGCGCGCAAAGCAGAGCUGUCUGAUCACAGCCACAGGGGGUCUCAGUGGUGACUAGGAGUGUCCUUGCCCUACACCCAUGUGGCGCGAGUCCUCUUUGGAGCGCCAACUCUCCUGCGCGGCUUCCUCACCCCACACUGCGUGCGCGAGCCAGGGGCUGAAGCCCUGGGCAGCGCUUCUCUGGGACUCUUCCCUGCGCGGAUGGAGACCGGCUGGGCGGUGCGGUCGGGUCGCGCGGCGGCUCCAGGGCCCGGUUCCUCCGCCCUGUGCUGGGGCUUUGAGCUGAGGCGAGUUCCCUGGCGCGCUGAGCACUUUACUCCGGAGUCGGAGCUGAUGCCCGCUAGGACAUGCACGUUUCCCAGUCCCUGUCACCUGCGCUAAACUCUGUCACGCGUUGAGCACGAGGUCAGCGAAUGUGUGCUUGCACGAAGCCCAGGUUCUGAGUGUGAAACGCACGCCCUCUCACAGCCCCGUGUGGAUGCGGGGAAGGCUGAGGAUCGGGGCUCGGAGGAGAGCGCGGGCCUGAGACCCUGCGGACACGGAGGCCAGGAGCCCCCUCCCUCCCGAGGAAGCCGAAUCCCUGCAGGCGGGCAGGACGGGUCAGUGGGAGGAAGGAGCAGAGUGAGUCUCUCCUGAGGAAAGGCUGAGGGAGCUUCUCUGGCGGAGGUGCCGUAGGUCCUGCUCAUUUGGACGUGGACGCAGCGGGUAAGUGCCGGGGAGGAGAAGAGGGGGGCGAUGCAGGCGGUGCUCCCUGACGCCCAGAGUACUGCUUCUAGAACGUUUGUGCCCAGAGGGAGGCGGUAAAUGAGGGGCUGAGGCGCUCAGAGCCGGGCGACCUGGUUCUGAUCCUGCGCUUCCCAGCGCCCUGGCACCUCCAGCAGCCACUCAGUCUAGCUCGGUUUCGUCCUUUCAGAGUGAGUGUUGUCACUAGGGCCCAGUGAGGCCACAUAUCCGCUUCUUGCACGAGGUUCUGUUGCGGACCUACCAUACACCUGGCCCUGGGCUAGGGGUGUAGAGGUCGCGGUGGGAAGACCCCCGGUGGCGCCUGCAGGCAGGUGGGAGGUCACAGCAAGCCCAAUCACCACCCCUGCGGUUUUCCCAGGGCCAAGUCGUCCUUCGCACGUCAGUGUCUUCAUCUGUAAAAUGUGGAGCAGCUGAAUCAAAAUCCUCUCUCAAGUGAACCCCCCCUCGACUUCUCGUCUGGGGCUGGUGUUUCUGAGCGCGUGUGUGUACUAUUCAGGCAACCUCCGGACACACCCAGAGACAGCUGCAGGGGCAGCCUGGGCCUUUGAGUGGGGGCAGAGCUAAGAUCCUAAGCUUGAUCAAAACAGACCAUGAGGUGAGACAUGAGGUUCUCACCUGCCUGAGACUUAGAUCCCAAACUCAUGAUGAGGAGGCCAGACUCAGGGCAGUUCCUUUGGUGAGCAUCCACUUAGACAGCUCAUAGUCCAGAGUCUCUGCAGACCAAGAUGUCAUUGGAUUACAGCUCUUGAACCCCAUCAUAACCGCGUGAGGUCGUGAUCACUCUUACUGUUACCGUGUUAGCGAUGAGGACACAGAAGCUUAAGAGAAGAGCCGGAAUCCGAGGGAUGCUGGUCCAUGGCUCCUAAAUGACUAUGUUUUAAGGUGUCGUAAGGUGUAGGCUGAGUUUGGGUUUGUCGUUAGUGCAGAACUCAAGACAGUGGUGGAUGCUGUGGGUUCAGGAGGGAGCUCUUUGGAGGCAGAAUACCUCCGGAGCGGCGGGUUCUCCCCUAAGAGCAGAGGCCAAAGAUGGCACUACCAGGCUCUCCUCCUUGGCCCCUCACCCCUGAGAGUGGCAGGAACACAAGGCAGGGGGUGGGUCACCUGGUUCUGGCGGGGAGGGAACCAGUUGGGGCAUCUCUUCAGUUGUCUCAAGAGGUUCUUAAGAUACUUGGUUGUAACCAGCCUGAAAAGCUGACGUGGAAAAUGUUUCCGUCUGGUUCCCGUAAACGUGAAAUCUGUUUUGAAUUACAUCCCUCUGAGAGAGAGAGGCCAAGAGAGGUUUGGUGUGUGUGCAGGAGAGCCCGCCUCUGAAUGGUCUGAAAGCUUUUGCAAUUUUUCCUAAUUGGUCCAAUCCUUUUCUGUAACCAAUCUCCUCUCUCUUUUGUCCAUCCCAUCCCCCACUGCCUGCAGCUUUGGAUUCCUGGCUGGGAUGUGGUUAUUGCCAGGAGUUCGGGUGUGUGUUUCAGGUGAGAGCAGGCAGGAGGGAACUCAAAACCCAGGUCUCGCAGUUGAGGGGACUUGUUUUCAACAUAACCCUGAGCUUAGGAGACCAGGGCUUUUUUUAAUGUUCUCUGUAUUUUUGUAUGUCUCCUAAGAUGCUCCUUAAACUGCUGGGGAAGAUUUGUGAUGCCCUGAAGUUCAGUGCUGCAGGAGAGGGGUACCCCCAGCUGACUGUGCCCCUGAUGGUGGGAACCUGAUUCUCUGAAUUAGAAGAAAAGACCAAAAACAGACAAAGUUAUUAUCAACACCAUACCCAAGGACUCUCCUCCCCAGGCCUGAGGUCACCUGAUUCUGGUGGCUCUACCCUUCAGCAUAUCAACUCUCUUAAAGUGUAUCCACAAACCAUAUUGAAUAAUGUAUUUUUGCUAUAACAAAAUUAGAGAGACGGUUGUAUUUUUUAUAAUGUUAAGUUUUAUUAAGGAUAAAUUAUUCAUUUUGGUCUUGUGUCAUAAACUCUAUUACACUGAUGGAUGACUGUGUGUUGAGCUACAUUUCACUAGUUGACACAAUGUUAACUUUUGUAGACAUGGAGUUAAAUAUUCAUUUUCAUUUUGCAGACAAAUUUUUAUAUUUUGGACCCAAUCUAGUUUUGUUUUUAAGCUUCAGGUAUUUUUGUGGGACAGUGGAUAGCUCCUGGGAUAUGGACAUUGAGCUUCUUGGGCCUAAUGGAUAAAAUCUCCUCUGUCCCCCACCGCCACCCCCCACCCCCACCCCCAGAGAGGGGAAGAAAUGCAGAAAUGGCUUCAGGGAACUGAUGUUCCAUCUCUAGGCCUAAAUUGUGCAGGUUUUCUUGUCUCCUCCUUGGUCUUGUUUUUAUGACAACGAAAUAUAGGAGGUGUUCUCUGGGAGAUGUGGGGCCUUUCCAAACAUCCCAGGCAGGGAGCAUGUCAUCAGUUACCUGAGACCCUCUGACAGAGGGAUGAAUUGGAUUCCUCUCAUGAGUGUCUCCAUCUGCUCUGGUCCAGAAGGGAGGGCAGGGUGAGGGAAGGGCUGCUUCCUCUUGAGCCUCUGAUUGGCCCCUUCGUGUGGCUCUGGCUUCAUGUGGGCCCUGGAUUUCUCCCUGGCUCCACAAAGAGCUUUGCUCAGGUACAGCCAUGACAGAGGCACCGCCAGAACUGUGUGCAAACAUUGAGCACCAGGGGUGUAUCGAGGAGGGAGAGAACCAAGUCUGUACACAGAGAAGGAGGCUGGAGGGUCUAGUCCCUGGAAAUGGGGACUGAGCUAGGCUCUGGCCGUGCUGCCCAGGAUGAGGGGCCAGGUCUGUCUUCCAAAGGGCAACUUCAAGGUAGAGGGCAGCUGACCAACUCAGGAGGUUGAGUAGGACCUGUGGGGAGAGGAAAUGAGGGGCCCUUGACAGCAGUGACCACCUGACAUAAGGAAGGCUGCAGGGGGUUGGGACCCAUUUUCAUCUCUGAGAAGUAGUGAUUCUUGAAGAAAAAAGAAAACACACAGAAAGACCCCAGGAAAUCUCCUCCGGGAAAGGAAAUACAGAUCCUUUCAGAUCCCUGACCUAAGAGGACAAAGGGGGUCUGGGGGUGGUUGCCUUGAUCAAGGUCAGAGCCAGAGUCUUUCAAGGUUGGACACUGGCAUGUCUGAAACCUGAGAAGCAUCUUUUGGGUCAUACCUGGCAUUUGUGCAUUAAGGGACUAGAACACUCCACCAGAAUUAGCUCCUUGUCAAUGGGGUGGAAUCCCCUCCUCUACACUAAAAAUGAGAUUAUGUGAAACCCUUGAAAAUUUAUUUGAAAAAGGGAGGGCUUUCUGUGCCUGAUGCAUUACCAUAAAAUGACACUGUCUUAUUCUUUAUUGCCUAAUUAGUAAUAUUGUACUUCAGUGUGAAAUGGCGUGUUUAAACAUUGCCAAUUGAUUUAAACAAAGGAUUUCAAAUACUGUAGGGAAGAGCACCAUGAAAAUUUGCUGUCAGCCAGCACCUCCGAGGGUGCAUUUUGUCACCUCCAAGGGUGCCUGCCUAGCAGGACCUGGCAGAGGGAAGGGCAUACCCACCCCCUGUGUUUUCUGGCCUCCAUGCCCUUCAUCCGCGGCUUAGCUGGUCUUGGGGCUGUUGCUUUUUAAUGAACUUUGAGGGUGUGUAGACACACAUUGGGCUCUCAGCUGGGCUCUAUCUUCAUUCAUUCAUUGAUUACCCACCUAACAAGACAGACGUAAACUCUAGUUCUAGGGCCUCAGGGUGCAGAGCAAGUGUUAGUCAGCCCAGGGGGAAAUGGGUGUUUUUGUGGAAAAUCGAAACAGCUCGAUUUGUUCCUGCUCGGUGACGAGGGUGGUGGAGAGGUGAGUGUGUCCUCGUGGUGGCCAUGAAAAUGAGUGUCUUAGGGUAGCCUGUCUGUUGUGACAAGUGUCCCCCACCCCUGGUGGCUUAUUUCUUGCUGACACCAGUUAUUUCUAGCUGACACCACUGGAUUGGCACAGUGGCAUUUGGGUCCCUCGGGGCCAGGCUCUUCUGUCUAAAGGCAGUGCAUCCCAUUGGGCCUGGAGAUUUCCCUCUGGACCCCCUGGAUCUAGCUGACAGAUGGCGAUAGGAAGAGGGCAUGAAGGGGGGCACCCAGAGUUUCAGGGUCCAGCCUAGAAGUGGUGCCCACCAUCUCCUGCCUGUCCCGCCGUCUAGAACUCUUGGCCCAGCACUGCCUCCUGCAGGGGAGGCUGGGAAAUGCAGGUUUGCCGUGUGCACAGGUCCCCCACACAGGUCUCUGCAGGUGGCACAGUCCAUACCCAUGUUUGGGGAAGUUCACAUCAUUGUCACAGAUAUUGGCUGUUUGAGAUUUCUGUGCUUGAAAAGCCCCUCAGGUGUUUCCCCAGCCUGGGUGUCAGCACUUUAUUACUUUUCUCUCUGGCUUUUCCACCUCUGCUACCCUGAACAGCUCAGACACCCCUGCCCACGGUUGCUGUACGGAGCGCUUCCAUUCCUUCUGCCCCCACCCCCGCCCCAGCUUGGAUCCCCCCUCGUGCGUCCCCAGCGUGUCUCCCCCACCAGGGCCCAUCUCCUUCCACAGGGGAGACUUCUUUCCCCAUCACUUUGAAGGCAGAGGUAAAUGGAGUCAGCUCUUAAGAGACCUCUUCUUUCUCUGAUAUUUCACAUCACCAAAGUCGGAUGGGAGUGUUGCCCCAUUAGCAGGGUUGCCGUGAGGCUUACGAAAGGUAACACAUGCAGGUGUGCAGGAGCCCAGCACACAGUCACCCUCCAUUAAAAGGCAGCCCCACGGCCUCCUGUCCCCGCAGCCCUCAGCGUCACACUGUCCUGUAGUCAGAGGGAGGGUGUGGUGCGGGGGGAGCCAGAGGUGGGGCUGGAGAGGAGAGUGGACCCCACAGCCUCACGGGUAUUUUUCCAAGGAGACAGGCCUUCGUCCUCUGCAUUCAGAAGUCGGAACACAGCACAUCAGCUGCAAAUGGGAGGAAAACCUUUGAAAACUGCCAUGUGUCUCAGCAGAGGUGUUUUGCUAAGAUUCAAGAUGUGGCUGCAGGAUGGGUUGAGUUUUCAGGGACACCCCCCAGAGGCUGGGGGGAGCUCAGGGGUCCCCAUCUGGGGUGGGGGCAGCACGGUGGUCCCCUUGGCCAGCUGACCCAGCCUGGGAGGCCCCGCCCAACCUUGCUGUCCACAGAGGUGGUGUGUGGGAGAGGGACCAUGGGGGAGAGGCUGGGGUCCCAGUGCCCCAUGGGGCCUCCACCUCAUCAUUUCUUUACAGGAAGAGAGCCCCAGACAAGCUGGGUGGUCAUCAGGGUCUGGCAGGGCCCUGGGGCCGAGACCGUCCUCUCUCCUGCAAAUGCGAGGAGGGUCUCCAGGGGCCAUCUGGGAGAGGGGGCUCUCCUGCCGUGGCCUGGACAAAUCUGGGGCAUCUGCCCUCCCCAACACCUCAAGGCAUGGGGACGUCUGCAGUUGUGGGCAGGUUCCCUUAAAGACCACUGACCUUCACUGUGCCCCCUGGAUGGAAGGAAGUGUCCUCUCUUCCUGCUAUGUCCUUGCUGACUCUGAAGUCAUCCUCCUCAGGUACCCCCCCUUCUCUGUAGCCCCCUCCCCAGUCCCACCACCUCUUUGGAAAGCUGCUUGACCCCCAGCUCUCAGUUCUCCCGCAGGUACGAGCACUGCUGCUCUGUUAGGGAGCAGCUCCUUUCUGCCUAGUGGCCAGAUGGCCCCCGUGUCUCCUGAGGUAAAGGUGGGAUUGGGCUAAAGAGUGUUUUUAGCCAUACAGUUCUGCAGUUGGAGAUUCUCUGUUAUUUCUGAGAUAGGUUCCUUUGGAAAGCAUUGUUGUCACGUGAAAAAAAAAAAA